UACGUAGGGGGCAAGCGUUGUCCGGAAUCAUUGGGCGUAAAGCGCGUGUAGGCGGUUCUGUAAGUCUGCUGUGAAAGUCCAGGGCUCAACCCUGGGAUGCCGGUGGAUACUGCAGGGCUAGAGUACGGAAGAGGCGAGUGGAAUUCCCGGUGUAGCGGUGAAAUGCGCAGAUAUCGGGAGGAACACCUAUUGCGAAGGCAGCUCGCUGGGACGUUACUGACGCUGAGACGCGAAAGCGUGGGUAGCAAACAGG
rnacentral:rRNA from 1 species